AACGCGAAGAACCUUACCUGGGCUCGAAAUGUAGUGGAAUCCGGUGGAAACAUCGGCGCCCAGCAAUGGGCCGCUAUAUAGGUGCUGCAUGGCUGUCGUCAGCUCGUGUCGUGAGAUGUUGGGUUAAGUCCCGCAACGAGCGCAACCCUUGUUACCAGUUGCUACCAUUUAGUUGAGCACUCUGGUGAGACCGCCUCGGAUAACGGGGAGGAAGGCGGGGAUGACGUCAAGUCCUCAUGGCCUUUAUGUCCAGGGCUACACACGUGCUACAAUGGCCGGUACAAACCGUCGCAAACCCGUGAGGGGGAGCUAAUCGGAGAAAACCAUGCUCAGUUCGGAUUGCAGUCUGCAACUCGACUGCAUGAAGCCGGAAUCGCUAGUAAUGGCGUAUCAGAACGACGCCGUGAAUACGUUCCCGGGCCUUGUACACACCGACAUA
rnacentral:rRNA from 1 species